GACGAACGCUGGCGGCGCGCUUAACACAUGCAAGUCGAGCGAGAACCAGGGCUUCGGCCCUGGGGACAGCGGCGAACGGGUGAGUAACACGUGGGUAAUCCACCCUCGGCACCGGAAUAGCCCGGGGAAACCCGGAUUGAUGCCGGAUGGCCCGCCGGCCCUGCGGGGCUGGCGGAAAAGGUAGCUUCGGCCUCCGGCCGAGGACGAGCCCGCGACGGAUUAGCUUGUUGGUGGGGUAACGGCCUACCAAGGCUGCGAUCCGUAGCUGGUCUGAGAGGACGAUCAGCCACACUGGGACUGAGACACGGCCCAGACUCCUACGGGAGGCAGCAGUGGGGAAUCUUGCGCAAUGGGCGAAAGCCUGACGCAGCGACGCCGCGUGAGGGAAGAAGGCCUUCGGGUUGUAAACCUCUUUCAGGAGGGACGAAGCCACUCGGGUUAAUAGCCCAGAGGGUGACGGUACCUCCAGAAGAAGCCCCGGCUAACUACGUGCCAGCAGCCGCGGUAA
rnacentral:rRNA from 1 species